rnacentral:lncRNA from 1 species
UCUACCCUCAGCUAUAAGCCACCAACACUGUAUACGUAUACAUUUUAUUUCUGUCUGGUGUGCUCAGCUGUUGGAUGUCAGAGCUCUGGCCAUGUGUGUUCACACACUGCCCUGUCACUUGUCACUUAUCCUCAGCUCCUGCCCCAUUCUUCACUCUAAUGGCAUGCUGCUGCUGUUUAGGGAAGUCAUAACCCAACUGGGAGGAAAAUGGAAUUGAGAGAUAAAUGUACACCUGGAAGGAUGCUCAGAGGGAAGUCGUACAUUGACCAGGCUGGCCAGGGAGGUAGAGACACCUGCUUUCAAGUAAGUAAAUGAAUCUUUC